rnacentral:rRNA from 1 species
UACGGAGGGAGCUAGCGUUGUUCGGAAUUACUGGGCGUAAAGCGCACGUAGGCGGCUUUGUAAGUUAGAGGUGAAAGCCCGGGGCUCAACUCCGGAAUUGCCUUUAAGACUGCAUCGCUCGAAUCCGGGAGAGGUGAGUGGAAUUCCGAGUGUAGAGGUGAAAUUCGUAGAUAUUCGGAAGGACACCAGUGGCGAAGGCGGCUCACUGGACCGGUAUUGACGCUGAGGUGCGAAAGCGUGGGGAGCAAACAGG